AGAAGAGAUGCUGCUCCUGCCUGACACGUGGCAGCCGGCAUAUGCUCCAGCUCUUCACCAGCGCCUCAUCUGCAUAAGGAUAACCACCAACUAAAGAGAAGUUGCCAUCCUGACCUCAGGCAGUUUUCCUUCUUGUAGACAUUAGGCAUCAGCUCUCAGAAUAACUACUUUCCCAGCUAGAUGAAACACCCCUG
rnacentral:lncRNA from 1 species